rnacentral:vault_RNA from 1 species
UGGCUGGCUUAGCAUGGUGGAUACUUCGUAUAGCAAAAUGAUUGCAUUUAUUGUUCAUAUAACACUUGUGGGUUCGAAUCCCACUGCGUAACUCUGCACGCGAGAUCCAGCUUUUUU